GACGUAGGAUGCAAACGUUAUCCGGAAUUAUUGGGCGUAAAGAGUUCGUAGGUGGUUUGUUAAGUAGAGUGUUAAAGACUUGAGCUCAACUCAAGGAAGGUACUCUAUACUGGCAAGCUAGAGUAAGGCAGAGGCAGGUGGAAUUCUGUGUGUAGGGGUAAUAUCCGUAGAUAUACAGAGGAACACCAAAAGCGAAGGCAGCCUGCUGGGCCUUUACUGACACUCAAGAACGAAAGCGUGGGGAGCAAACAGG
rnacentral:rRNA from 1 species